rnacentral:lncRNA from 1 species
AUGGCUGGAUGGCAUUACUGACUCAAUGGACAUGAGUUUGAGCAAGCUCCAAGAGUUGGUAAUGGACAGGGAAACCUGGUGUGCUGCAGUCAUGGAUUUGCAGAGUCAGACACGACUAAGCAACUGAACUGACUGAAGGGGUUCAAAACCCCAAUGAGUCACUAUGGUUCUGCCAGCCCAGGGUGGGAAUGUCCGCCACCAUGCUUUAUACCAAGACACCAAGGCAUGUGUAUAUUUGGACCCUGACCCUCUCUGCAUCUACACUCUCACCCAAUCAAGACAGAAGCAGGCCUGGACCACGGUACCAGGAGGUGAAGUAGACACCCAAGCACCUGUCCCAGGGAGGUUGGGCUCCAUGCUCUUGGUCAUGCUCAGUUGUCCCAUCAGACUUCACUUACAAAAACACACACUCAAAUGUAAAAUCAUCCAGAAUUUCAAGACAGCAGCUACAGAACUUCACCCCUAUGAUGAAGGGAGACAAUGAAGGGAACUUCCCUUCUCAUCCCUUUCACUGCUGAAUAACUCCCUCCCUUCCACUGCUGCUCAGAUCUCAUGACUAUUCCUUCUUUCAUUCAACAAGUAUGUGCCAGGCAUUGUUCUAAGAAACAAUGGAGAGCUGGAGCAGUGAUGGUCCCUGCCUAGUGGAGCUUAUGUUGGGUGGAGGGGGCAUGAUCUUUACACAGCCUUGAUGCUGCCAACACCAACAGGCAGUGGUAUGCGGGCUGGAGCCACGCUCUUAUGCAGGUCCACUGUUAACAGCUGCAGGGUUCAGAGCAAAACUACAAAUGGAGGCUGGCUCACCUCCUUACAUCUGUCUAAAUAUUUAAAGGCUAUAAAUUAAGCUAAUGAAUAUGUUUUAUUCUCCUACCUUAACCCUCAUAAUGGCUUGAAAGGACAGGUCUGAAUUGAGAAUUCCAGCCAGAAUGUGGUGUCAAACAGGACACCAGCUCAAUCCAACAUAAGUGGACUCACUCAGGCAUACUUGUGGGCACUGAGCCAGUUCAUCAGCCUCUAUUCACACCUUCUGCAAAGACAUCCUAGACACCCCUUGAGCCUAAGUGUAUGCACAGUGACUUCCCAGUCUGCCCAUAGUAGGAAAUCCACAGAGGUCAAACAGGCUCUAGAAGCAGGUUUGAGGCUUUGAAGCAGGAAAUUCAGUACCCAGAGUUCCCAGAGGGUAUUUCAGAAGGCAGGGCAAGUUCAGGCAUGGGGUCCAGGUAGAUAUAUUGCUUGACCCUGUGGACUCCUUGCCCCGUGGGAAGGAAGGGCCUCUUGCCCAGUUCUCAGGGCACAAGUGUGUUCCUGAAGUACAGAGGGCAGGAGAUUAAACUGUUCAGUGUCUUCAGUAUCAUUUAAGAGCUGAAAGAGAGGAAGAGGAGCAGAGGAGUCAGGGGCAAGGGGAAAAAAACCUACUAUCCUAAUGCCACCAAGUGAUCCCACCACUUCCCACCAUGGUGUUCUCCUCCAUCCAGGUGGCAAACAGCAGAAGGAAGGGGAAGCAGGGAAAGAAGAAAGCCAGUAUUCUGCUACUGCAGGAGGCUGUCUCCUGUAAUAGUUACAUUGAGAGCACAGCCCAGAAGAACUGGGAGGGAAAAAAAGAAAGAAAGGGUAAGUAAGGGAACUGAUAUUACCAACCAAGCCUCUGCUGAAGACUAAUUCUGCCCAUCUCAUAGGGACAGAAAUACAACACAAAGAUUUCACCAUAAGCAGUGUUUAGUAAGUUUAUUAAAUUAUACCCAAUAAUUUUAAGUACUUUUCCCUCCUUAGGCUUUGCUCUGCUCUUCGUGAGCCUUCCAUAGCAGAGCAAACCCAAUGAUUCCUGCUGGCAAACCAAUCACAGAUGUUUCUAAUUUGGGAGUAGCCCAUGCUUGUUUGAUUCAAAAUGUCAGAGCCCAUGCUAUGCCUGGCUAAGCAGUGUGCCGGUACUCUGGUAUGGCCACCCCCCAAUCACAGAGAUGCAGUCUACACUCUCCUGGGCUCACCUACUGGAUGCUUCUUCUACCUGACUAAUUCAUUCAGUCCCUCCAGGCCAGAGACUCCUGGCAGCAAGGCUGUCUCACAUGAUCAUCUUAGCAGUUAAUGCCCCUUCCUCUUCCUCUGUCUACCCACCAGGCAAAUGCAUGGGCUUCAGGGGAAUGCUUAUAGAUCCAUGCCCAUGGGUCCACAAACCUCUGCAUCACAUUACAGUCUAUAUUGUGUUAUCCUUCCACCAAGAGCAUAAUUCUCCCUUUCUUCCUCCACACCAGCCUUCACCUUAUAAGAAUUCAAGUUCACUCUCUUUUCUCUCUGACAUAUCUCUUUUACUUGACUUGAAUUAUUUAUUUGUGAGUUCUUUGGGAUGGAGUAUAUGAUCAAACAUUAUGUUCAGUUCAGUUCAGUCACUCAGUUGUGUCCGACUCUUUGUGACCC